AGCGAACGCUGGCGGCAGGCCUAACACAUGCAAGUCGAACGAAGUCUUCGGACUUAGUGGCGGACGGGUGAGUAGCACGUGGGAACGUACCUUUUGGUUCGGAACAACUCAGGGAAACUUGAGCUAAUACCGGAUGAGCCCUUAGGGGGAAAGAUUUAUCGCCGAAAGAGCGGCCCGCGUUAGAUUAGCUAGUUGGUGAGGUAAAGGCUCACCAAGGCGACGAUCAGUAGCUGGUCUGAGAGGAUGAUCAGCCACAUUGGGACUGAGACACGGCCCAAACUCCUACGGGAGGCAGCAGUGGGGAAUCUUGCGCAAUGGGCGAAAGCCUGACGCAGCCAUGCCGCGUGAAUGAUGAAGGUCUUAGGAUUGUAAAAUUCUUUCACCGGGGACGAUAAUGACGGUACCCGGAGAAGAAGCCCCGGCUAACUUCGUGCCAGCCGCCGCCGUAAUAC
rnacentral:rRNA from 1 species